UACGGGGGGAGCUAGCGUUAUUCGGAAUUACUGGGCGUAAAGCGCACGUAGGCGGCUUUGUAAGUAAGAGGUGAAAGCCCAGAGCUCAACUCUGGAAUUGCCUUUUAGACUGCAUCGCUUGAAUCAUGGAGAGGUCAGUGGAAUUCCGAGUGUAGAGGUGAAAUUCGUAGAUAUUCGGAAGAACACCAGUGGCGAAGGCGGCUGACUGGACAUGUAUUGACGCUGAGGUGCGAAAGCGUGGGAGCAAACAGG
rnacentral:rRNA from 1 species